GAUGAACGCUGGCGGCGUGCCUAAUACAUGCAAGUCGAGCGAACGGACGAGAAGCUUGCUUUUCUGAUGUUAGCGGCGGACGGGUGAGUAACACGUGGAUAACCUACCUAUAAGACUGGGAUAACUUCGGGAAACCGGAGCUAAUACCGGAUAAUAUUUUGAACCGCAUGGUUCAAAAGUGAAAGACGGUCCUGCUGUCACUUAUAGAUGGAUCCGCGCUGCAUUAGCUAGUUGGUAAGGUAACGGCUUACCAAGGCAACGAUGCAUAGCCGACCUGAGAGGGUGAUCGGCCACGCUGGAACUGAGACACGGUCCAGACUCCUACGGGAGGCAGCAGUAGGGAAUCUUCCGCAAUGGGCGAAAGCCUGACGGAGCAACGCCGCGUGAGUGAUGAAGGUCUUCGGAUCGUAAAACUCUGUUAUUAGGGAAGAACAUAUGUGUAAGUAACUGUGCACAUCUUGACGGUACCUAAUCAGAAAGCCACGGCUAACUACGUG
rnacentral:rRNA from 1 species